AUGAACGCUAGCUACAGGCUUAACACGUGCAAGUCGAGGGGAAACGAUAUUGGAAGCUUGCUUCUGAUAGGCGUCGACCGGCGCACGGGUGAGUAACGCGUAUCCAACCUGCCCAUCACUUGGGGAUAACCUUGUGAAAGUAAGACUAAUACCCAAUGACGUCUCUAGAAGACAUCUGAAAGAGAUUAAAGAUUUAUCGGUGAUGGAUGGGGAUGCGUCUGAUUAGCUUGUUGGCGGGUAACGGCCCACCAAGGCGACGAUCAGUAGGGGUUCUGAGAGGAAGGUCCCCCACAUUGGAACUGAGACACGGUCCAAACUCCUACGGGAGGCAGCAGUGAGGAAUAUUGGUCAAUGGACGAGAGUCUGAACCAGCCAAGUAGCGUGCAGGAUGACGGCCCUAUGGGUUGUAAACUGCUUUUAUAAGGGAAUAAAGUGAGUCUCGUGAGGCUUUUUGCAUGUACCUUAUGAAUAAGGACCGGCUAAUUCCGUG
rnacentral:rRNA from 1 species